GAUGAACGCUGGCGGCGUGCCUAAUACAUGCAAGUCGAGCGAACAGACGAGGAGCUUGCUCCUCUGACGUUAGCGGCGGACGGGUGAGUAACACGUGGAUAACCUACCUAUAAGACUGGGAUAACUUCGGGAAACCGGAGCUAAUACCGGAUAAUAUAUUGAACCGCAUGGUUCAAUAGUGAAAGACGGUUUUGCUGUCACUUAUAGAUGGAUCCGCGCCUCAUUAGCUAGUUGGUAAGGUAACGGCUUACCAAGGCAACGAUGCGUAGCCGACCUGAGAGGGUGACCGGCCACACUGGAACUGAGACACGGCCCAGACUCCUACGGGAGGAAGCAGUAGGGAACCUUCCGCAAUGGGCGAAAGCCUGACGGAGCAACGCCGCGUGAGUGAUGAAGGUCUUCGGAUCGUAAAACUCUGUUAUUAGGGAAGAACAAAUGUGUAAGUAACUAUGCACGUCUUGACGGUACCUAAUCAGAAAGCCACGGCUAACUACGUG
rnacentral:rRNA from 1 species